GCGCCCUGGGCGCCGCGCCCCAGGGAGCAGCUGGACUGACCGAGCCCCUGUGCCGCCCCCAG
rnacentral:miRNA from 1 species